CUACGGGUGGCACCAGUAAGGAAUAUUGGGCAAUGGACGCAAGUCUGACCCAGCCAUGCCGCGUGCAGGAUGACAGCCCUACGGGUUGUAAACUGCUUUUAUACGGGAAAAAUUCCCCGGUCGUGAAUCGGGGUUGAUGGUACCGUAAGAAUAAGCAUCGGCUAACUCCGUGCCAGCAGCCGCGGUAAUACGGAGGAUGCAAGCGUUAUCCGGAUUCAUUGGGUUUAAAGGGUGCGUAGGCGGAAUGAUAAGUCAGUGGUGAAAUCCUACAGCUUAACUGUAGAACUGCCAUUGAUACUGUUGUUCUUGAGUACAUUUGAAGUGGGCGGAAUGUGUCAUGUAGCGGUGAAAUGCAUAGAGAUGACACAGAACACCGAUCGCGAAGGCAGCUCACUAAACUGUAACUGACGCUGAGGCACGAAAGCGUGGGGAUCAAACAGGAUUAGAUACCCGUGUAGUC
rnacentral:rRNA from 1 species